AAAAACGACGCUCGGUCUUUCGACCGUGAGCGCCAUCGCUGCCGCAGGCGGGCUGCCUCCGGGCUCCAGGCGCGGGCGCGAGCCAGCCGGCAGCCAGCCUCUGAGGGCGCGAGGCCGCCGAGGCUGCCUCCGGCAACAUGCGCGUGCCAGCCGGCCACCCGCCGCUAGGAGAGCGAGGCCGCCGGGGCUGUCUCCGACCGGCCAUGGGCUUGGGUCCCGGGAGCGGGCGUAGCCGCUGGCCGCCCAGCCAUGGGCACGGGGCACGAGCCUCUGCCUAGCCAGACCGCCCCACCACGGCGAGGCCGCAGGCCCUGCCGCGGUUCCGGGGCAUGAGGCCGCCAGACGCCUCGUCGCGGGCGUGGCCGCCAGGGCUGACUGGGAGCCGCUGCGUGGCUGUGCUUGCGCCGCGCGGGGCGCAGUCAUCCGCAGUGCGUGGCCGCUGACCGCGGCGCGGAUUGAGCCUGGGCCUGGCCGAGCGAGGGCCGCCGCGGGGGCUCGCCGAGCAUGGAGCCGGUGAGCGCGAUGGAGUUGGGGAAGAUUUCAGAUUGACGAUGAGGAAGGUACGAAUCACGGCAGUUACCUUAAUCCAGUAUUCCUUCUCGUAAUCGUCGUAUCUUGGAGAAGUGCUAGAGCAUGGCUGUAUCGCCGGAUUGUCGAAGGCCAGAGCAGCGGUUGUCAGCCUCGCCAUCGUCAUGAACGAGGCAGAGGAGGCGGGGCGACGAGUUCCGGCGACAGUGCGACUUCGAUCCCCUUCUGGAUUCCCUCUCGAGAGCGCAGAACUGAGAGUAGUGCGCUCUCCUCUACAUGUUCUCGUAGAGCGGUGCUGAUAACGUGUUAAAAGUGAAUGUAAAUGAAUAGAGAUUUUGGGAACAAUUGUUGUUUUCAUUGAUCUCUUUGGAAUAUAUAAGUGAAUGGUUGCGUCGUACGGACGUCGUACGGACGCGACUGUUCGGAAGAAACGCCAAAAGACAUGUCCCUUUGGUGACAAGUCUAAUUGCUAAUACAAAACUAACUGCUAAGUCUUUGAUGAGAUCGAUAGUGAAUGGGUGCAUGUACAUCAACAUGCACCGUUCCACAACAGUUGUAACCAUGGUACGUGAAAACAUGCACGAAACCUACUCAAAAUUUUAUCAUAGCCUCCGCAUAUAUCCUGACAUCUCGACAAGUUUCAUAAUUUUGAGACUUCAUUCAAUUUUUAUAGAAUCUCUACUCCUAAAAAUUGUGUAAGCGGGACGCUGGAUUGCUUCGUCCUGCCUCCGACGGUUCCAGAUCCCUGUUCUCGCCAUCUCGAUCGUCAUCCAUCUUGCCAUCUCGCCCGUCUUCCGUCGUCCCUCCGCCCCCGCCCGCCCGCGUCCGCUCCGUCUCGCCGAUAAUCCCGCGCACUUUCCUACAAUCGCGCCUCCAUCCGAUGCUCGCCCCUCCCUCUCGCCCCACCCCCACCCUGAAGCGCUCCCCCUCCCGACGCCCUGCCCCUCGCGACGAAUCCCCCUCGACCUCGACCCCCCUUGCGUCGCCGCAGCGCGCAAGCCAUUCCGCCGAUGCCGCCCUUCCCUCGCGCCGUACGUCACAGCCUGCGAGCCGGUCUGCGCCGCCAUCCCGCUGCCGUGAGGUGCCCCCUGUUUAGCGCUGCGAGGGGCCCCCAUCCGCCCGUGCGAGGAUGCGGGUCCCCGGCGGCGGCCACAGCUUGUAGAGGGCAGGCACGCAUCAAGAUGGAGCAAAAGGGGCCCGUCGCCAUCCACCUGCACGCAGCCCUUGCGAUCCGCCGAUCCCCCUCCCCUGCACCCGGCCCUCGCCAUCCACUCGGCCUCACCAUUGCCUCCCUCGACCCGCCAUCCUCCUCUCUAUUCGCGUGGAUCGACCAACCCUUUGUAGCGCGAUCCUGGCGGCGGCGCGGCGUCAUGGUGGAUCUGCGGCGCCUCGGCGGCUACCUCCCACUCUCCUCGCGACAACGGUCGCCAUGGAGCGCAGCAAGAGCUUUCCAGCCGGUGCACGAUGCAACUCAAGCGGUGGUUCCCUGCGAGCUUCGGUUGAUCUCGGCGUGAGGAUUUGAGGUCGGCGUUUGCAGCCGUGCACCUGUGUAAACGCCGGCAUCCUCACCAUGGCCGCAGAUCGUCCAGAUACGGUAAGCUGCUAGCUGUGCUCUCGUUGCUCAUCUAUCGUUGGCUUGUAAUCUCAUAUCACGAAUCCUGCAUGCUGUGCUUAACGAAGGGGGUGAUGCAAGUGCACUCUCUGUGUUUGGGUAAACGCCCCAGCGAAGUUGAAGUCCCGCACAGGCCGAACAUCGCUAUUUGUUUCUCUGUAGUCUGUGCAGGUUAGCUGACAAAGCAAGAAAAGAGUUCAAUUGGAAUGCGAAGAGAUGCUGCAUUAUGCAGGUUCUUGAUCGUGCACUGCCUCUACGAUUUAUGAUCUAAGAGCACCAUGUAAAAGAGCCUUGUUUCAUUCGAAUUGACCUAGGUUUAGGAUUUUGUGGGUUGUUUCCUAUCAAACUUCCAGCUUGAUUUAUUUUAUAGGUUCAGCUUUGCAAGUGAAUUAUUAUUUAAAUCCAUCUCCCGUUGUGUUCAGAUAGAGAGAAGGUGAGAGAGAGCAAAGACGAAGCAGCCAACAACCAAAGGUGUCCGAGGGAGACAAAGCUCUUGAUAGAAUUGAGAGGUAGAGAGCAAGGAGGAUGGAACAGGAGGUGUGCUCGUAUUUUUAUUUUGAGAUUCUAAAUGGCUUCACUUUUGGAAUUUAUAGCAUAUUAUCAUGUAAAAGAGGAGAUGAUCACACUGAUAGACACUUGGCAAGAAGCUUUUGGUGGUGUGCGUGCAAGAUAUUCACAAUACUUUGCAGCAUACAUGGAGCUCUUGGUAUUAUUCUAUACAUAUCAAACAUAUUGUAUUAUUUUAUCCAUCUCACAUUUUUAGAUACUCA